AGGCAGCAGUAGGGAAUCUUCCACAAUGGACGAAAGUCUGAUGGAGCAACGCCGCGUGAGUGAAGAAGGGUUUCGGCUCGUAAAGCUCUGUUGGUAGUGAAGAAAGAUAGAGGUAGUAACUGGCCUUUAUUUGACGGUAAUUACUUAGAAAGUCACGGCUAACUACGUGCCAGCAGCCGCGGUAAU
rnacentral:rRNA from 1 species